UAUUGGUCAAUGGGCGAGAGCCUGAACCAGCCAAGUAGCGUGAAGGAUGACUGCCCUAUGGGUUGUAAACUUCUUUUAUAAAGGCAUAGAGUCGGGUAUGCAUACCCUUUUGCAUGUACUUUAUGAAUAAGGAUCGGCUAACUGCUUUCCAGCAGCCGCGGUAAUACGGAGGAACCGAGCGUUAUCCGGAUUUAUUGGGUUUAAAGGGAGCGUAGAUGGAUGUUUAAGUCAGUUGUGAAAGGUUGCGGCUCAACCGGAAAAUUGCAGUUGAUACUGGAUAUCUUGAGUGCAGUUGAGGCAGGCGGAAUUCGUGGUGUAGCGGUGAAAUGCUUAGAUAUCACGAAGAACUCCGAUCGCGAAGGCAGCCUGCUAAGCUGCAACUGACAUUGAGGCUCGAAAGUGUGGGUAUCAAACAGGA
rnacentral:rRNA from 1 species